rnacentral:misc_RNA from 1 species
GAAGGAAUGUUUAAGGUGUGUAUGAUGAUAUAAAAUUUAUUCAGGGACUAUAAUUGUUACAUAUUUCGAUUAAGACCUAUAAUGCCAAGUUGUUAGUUGAUUGCUACACAAAUUAUAAAUUUCGUAUAGCUAUUGAUGCCUACUGGAGGGUCAUGCAUUUGGAACACCCAUUUUUGGUCAUUAGAUCCAAGAAUUUUUCAUUCUGAUGGUACCAAUACAGGUGUCGCAUGCAUCUGAAAUACUCAGAUU